rnacentral:rRNA from 1 species
UACGGGGGGAGCAAGCGUUGUUCGGAUUUACUGGGCGUAAAGGGCGCGUAGGCGGCCACCGCAAGUCGACUGUGAAAUCUCCGGGCUUAACCCGGAAAGGUCAGCCGAUACUGCGGGGCUAGAGUGCAGAAGGGGCAACUGGGAAUUCUCGGUGUAGCGGUGAAAUGCGUAGAUAUCGAGAGGAACACCUGCGGCGAAGGCGGGUUGCUGGGCUGACACUGACGCUGAUGUGCGAAAGCUAGGGGAGCGAACGGG